AGAGAGAGACAUGCGCGCAUAUCAAUAAGCGGAGGAAAAGGAAACUAACAAGGAUUCCCCUAGUAACGGCGAGUGAAGCGGGAAGAGCUCAAAUUUGAAAUCUUAAAGGGUUUCCCUUUACGAAUUGUAGUUUAAAGAAGUGUUUUCUGUUGAGGUUUUGGUAAAAGUUCUUUGGAAUAGGACAUCAUAGAGGGUGAGAAUCCCGUAUUUGACCUUUACUUUCAACUUUGUGAUACACUUUCAAAGAGUCGGGAUUGUUUGGGAAUGCAGGUCCAAAAUGGGUGGUAAAUUUCAUCUAAAGCUAAAUAUUGGCGAGAGACCGAUAGCGAACAAGUACCGUGAGGGAAAGAUGAAAAGAACUUUGAAAAGAGAGUUAAACAGUACGUGAAAUUGUCAAAAGGGAAGCGUUUGACACCAGUGUUGUUUUUCUGAAAAUCAAUUAAAGAACUGUUUAUGCUAAGUUGUUUAGACUUUAUCAGCUAACUGUUUAGUUUUGAGCUUUUCUUUAAUGCACUUUUCAGUUAACAAGUCAACAUCAAUUUCUUUUGCUGUAAAAAAGCUUGAGGAAGGUGGCUUGAGAUUCGUCUUAAGUGUUUAUAGCCUCUUGCCUAUGCAGUCGGAGAGAUUGAGGUCUGCAGCGUAGAUCCUUCGGGGCUAAAUGCAUUUGUGCUAAGUUAUAGCAUUUUAUAGACAACUUGUUGACUAUGAUUUGUCUUGUAGCUUACUCGCUUAUGUUAUUUUACCUACGCUUAGGAUGUUGAGCGCAUGUCUCUCUCU
rnacentral:rRNA from 1 species